rfam:Glycine max cultivar Williams 82 chromosome 20, whole genome shotgun sequence.
UCCAAUGUGGUCCAGCGGUUAGGAUAUUUGGCUUUUACACAAGAGAGCCGGGUUGGGUUCCAGGCAAUGGAA